UGCGCGCGCGCGCGUGUGUGUGUGUGUGGUGUGUGUAGAAUAGAAAAUCCAUAAUGUCAAAAAAAUAUUCUGUAUAUAUUGUACAUGCAAAAAAUGUAUAUAAAUAAAGAUAUACCUACAUUUAGGGAUAUUUAUAAGAUACAUGAAUACACUUGAUUUGUAUAGGGUUAAAACGGAUCAAGAGGAAAAAGGGGGUUUAUGAUUAGAAGGGCCGUGAAGGGGAUGGAGGUGGAACGUGUAAAGAUCGCACAAUGGCCAGGGCGCGUAGGCGGUGAUGAGAAUGUAUUGUAAAUAUGAUGUAUAAUAUGGAGAGACUGCAAACCCUGAAGGGACGCAGUAAAUAAACAUACAUACAUACAUACAUAUAUACACUUGAUUUGUAUAUUCAAAAAAGAUCAUAGCGUAUAUAUAUAUAUAUGUACAAUAUAUUUCAUGUAUAUUCCAUGUAUUUACAUUAAAUAUAUGUACAUGCGAUAUACGCUGACGUAGAUACAUUUAUAUAGAAUAUUGUAAGUUGCGACAGUGAGCCGUCUAACUCGUAAUCAAAUUUUAGUACGCAUGUGCGAAUACGUACAUCUAAUAACAUAGCUGCGCCCACGAUAUUUUAAUCUGCUUCAAUCUCUUUUUAGUUACACGUGUCGCAUAUCUGCAGAAGAUCUGACACAAUGAGCUACCAAAAUACAAAAAUCUCUAUUUAAAUUUUAUAGCGUGAUGUUAUGUGUGAUAAAAUAAAGAAAGGUGGUUAUACUAUAAAAGUUGUACUAUAAAAGAUUGUCAAAAUAUUUCUGGGCGUACAUCUAGUUCCAGCUUUUUGCGUUUUCCAAAAGAUUCCGAAAGAGCAAAAUUGUGGUUGAGAAAAUGUAAUCGUGAAAUAAAAACAUCAGUAAUAAAUUCAUAUAAAAAUUAUAAGGUUUGUGAUGAUCAUUAUCCAUCAUUGAUGUUUUUAAACGAUUUAAAAAAUAGACUGCAACCGCAUGCAAUUCCGUUACUUACAACAAAUAAUAAUCAAGCUAUUGACGAGUCAAAUAAAAGCAAUGCAAUUUUUAAUUUGAGUGAAUCUGAAGAAAAUAUAUUAUUCAGGUAAAUAUUCAAGUAAAUAUUUUCUAAUUUUGGAGUUGUUGCAAAGAAAUUUGAUGAGUAUAAUUAUUGUAUUUUAGUUAAAUGCGGAGAUAUAACGUCUAAAUGAACGACUUGAAACCGAAUUUUCAUACAAAAUUGAACAUCAAUCAGUAUCAAGUAAUAAUUUUAGUUCAAUAAAAUUAAUAUUAAUAACAAAAUAUUUGGAUGAAUCAGACUGAAAUAUACAUUUGAUUAUAUUAUCGUACAAUUUAUUAUGUUUGUUCUUUUUUUGUAGUGAAUGGAUAAUAUAAUCAAUUAAUUUUUUGUGUUAUAAUUCUUUAGUACUUUUAAUAUUACUUUUUAAUAUAGUUAACACCCAUCAACUAAUGAAUAAUGAACAUGAAGAAGUAAAAUCAGCUUUGCAUCUAAAACAUCAGUACAAUCAAACAGAGCCAAAACUUUCCAAUUAUUCCCCGCGCAAAAAAAUUUUAAGAGGCAGAAUUACAGUAUUACAUCGAGAAGUUCGACGAUUAAAACAACAACUAGAACGUCAGAAAAAUAAUCUAAAAACUUCUAUGAGAAAAAUCUCUUUGGAAGAAUAUUGAGGCUACUGACAAAUUUUUGCAACCAGAAAUUGCAAAUUUUAUAAAAACUCAAGUGCGUCUUACUAAAUGUAAAUCAACCAAAAAACGGAAAUAUUAGCUUACAUUUAAAAAGUAUUGUUUGUAAAAAGUUUUGUGGGGGAAGAAAAGCUUACAAUUUUUUUGCACAAAAAUUUAUUCUUCCUUAUGUUAGAACCUUACAACGCAUGAUUCAACAUUGGAAAAUUGCUCCAGGUUUACAUGAUUUUAUUUUUGAUGCUUUAAAAAAAAGUUGGAAACUUCUUCGUCACCUCUCGAUAAGUAUUGCAUUUUAUGCAUUGAUAAAGCAUCAAUUACAGCAAAUUUGUAUUAUAAUAUAAAUCAGGACGAAGUUAUUAGGUUUGAAGAUUUGGGUGAUGACAAAUUUUAUCGUCUAGCGUGUAAUGUUGCGGUUUUAAUGAUGAGAGAGGUUUGUUACAAUUGGAAACAACCUUUGGCUUACUUUUUUCUCAAUUCUUCAUUCUGCUAUGAAAUGAACAAUCAUUAUUCCUCAAACAAUUGCAAAAUAGCAAAAUGCAGACUUUAAAGUACUCGCGUUUGUUUCAGACAUGAGAGGAAACUUUAAACAAACUGCUAAACUUUUUAGUGUGACAGAGGACAAUUCAUUUUUUUGUUAAUAAUAAGCAAAUUUUAUAUUUUUUUUAUUUACCUCAUAUAAUAAAAACUGUUAGAAAUAAUUUUCACGACAAUAUCAUUAAGUAUAAUUCUAAAUCAAUUUCUUGGGAAUUCAAUAUUUAUUUUAUGAAGAUCAAACUAGAGAAUUUCGACUUGCACAUAAACUUACUGAAAAACAUAUAAAAUUUUCAAAUUUUGAAAAAAAUGAAAGUAUACUUGGCUACACAAAUUUUAAGCUCUACAGUGAGUAGCAGCUUGAGGAAAUUAGUAAUUUCUAGAGCUUUGAAACCUGCAGAUACGACAAUUGCACUUAGAACAGCAGAUUUUAUUCAAAAUAUGAACGAUUUUUUUUAUCUAUUCAAUUCAUCUUCGGUUCAACAUCCAUCUCAAUUUAAACAAGCUUUGCAGGGAACGCAGUAUCAAUUGAAAUUUCUUUCAAAAAUUAAAGAAUAUAUAUUCAAAUUAGUGAGACUUCCGUUUCAGGGCCGUUGUGAGUUAGACGUAUGUGGAUAGCCGGUAGUUUUAUAGAGUGAUACUGAGAGUUAUUGAGGUGUUAGGAGAAGUAGGAUAGCGUGAUGUGAUUGCGGAGAGCGAGUGGAGUGUGUGGAUGGUCAAGAUAGAGUGGGGAGAAGAGUGUGUAAGCAAGAAAUUGCAUAUAAAGUAGGUGAGUUAGUGGGCAACAGAGCAGAGGCAGGGAUUAGAUAGGUUCAAGACAGGCGUGCGUGACGCAAGGAUUGAAUGGAGUAGAGAACAGAAGCGCCGCCUGAAGGUCUAGAGAGGGGAUAGGAUGGUUAAGGUGUAUUCACAAGAGACAACGGGCAUAGUCUAAAGCAUGAGUAAUAUAGAGAGAGGAAAAAGCGAUAGUUGUACGUCGUUAGAGGGAUAAAGGGGAAGUAAGAGAGUAGCAAGAUCUCCGCCUGGAGAGGGGGGGGGAUGAGUUGGUUAGAAACUUAAGGACGUGGAAAGAUGAGACAAUAGAGGGACUAAAAGUAGUAAAAACGGAAAUAAAAGAGGAAUUAAAAGAGAUUGUGGAAGAGCAGGGGAAAAGGAUGAGAGAGGAGAUAGAGGCUUUAAAAAAAGAAAUCAGGGAGCUUAGGGAAAGGGAGAGUAGAUGGGAAAGAGAAAAAAAAGGAGUUAGUGGAGGCACAGGAGGAGAUGAAAAGGAUAGAGAAGACGGAUAAGGUAGGAGAUAGAAUGCUAGAUAAGAGGGUUAAAGAGAUGGAGAAGAUGGAGUUGAAGGAUAGAGAAGAGAGGAGGAAAAAUGUGAUACUUAGGGGGGUGGCGGUAAAGAAGGGUAAGAGAAGGAAAGCCGUAAAAGGGGUGUUUAAAGAUAUAGGGGCGGAAGUGACGGUGAAGGGGAUUAGAAAUAUAGGAGAAGUAAAUAAGAAAGGGAGGGAGUUGCUAUGGAUAAGGUUAGAAAAUGAAGAGCAGAGGAAAGAGGUUUGGAGUAGAAAGAAGAAUUUAAGAGGGC
rnacentral:lncRNA from 1 species